CUUAUUUCUGAAUGUAAGACAUGAAAUCGUCUCUUCCAAAUACCGAUUACACGUUCAACCAGGCAUCUUGUUUUCUUGUGGUCCAGUUAAAUCUUCUUUGCUGUGGCAGAACGGGAUUUAAAUAAGGUGUUAUCAAGUAUGAUCUGAGGGCAUAUCCACUGUCACCUAGCAGUACUUCAUCCUCCGUAGUAUAAACCUAUUCUUCUAGUCCUCGGCCAAGUGCAGAGGAGUGAAAGAUAAAAGAGUUAUGGCAUGACCCUGGCCACUUUGCCACCACAUUUCUUAAUUUUCCUAUACAGGGUGUAUCAAAAAAAACUGAAC